CUGAAUGAGCGGACAUAAAUAAUUCGACUCAACGCAUUCGAACGUUUGAGACCACGUGACCUCCAUGAGGGUGUAUAGUGUUCGCGCUUCUUAGCUUGGGUUGCGUUACCGUUGCCAAGGCGUCUGAUUCUACGUUGUAUCAACGUCGUAACAGCAGCAUCGUCAACAUCAACCCAGAAGCAGUUCCUGAACCGAGCCUUCGCCAGUGGCGGCCAAUUUCCUCACCCAUCACCGGAGGGGGGCGCUGCCCUGCUAUACACGGGGUACAGGGUGUGUCUCUGCCCCAUUCCUACCAUCCGUGGCGCCCAGGGGAAGACCCUUGUGCUGGUUCGUGACGUGGAGAAAACCACCGUGAACGAUUUUCCCCUCCCAGCUCCGAUCGCAUCAGAGCCGUGCGCUGCUUGAGGGCAAGCCAGCCCUAGCUUGGCUAACAUCUCUAUCAACCCAUAAUGAAGAAGAAGAAGAAGAAGCGUACACUUCCAUGAGCCAUGGAGCACGCAGCGGCUUCAGGAUACUAUCUCGCAAGUUCAGCUUUGUUGGAGACGGGCCUCGACUCUCCAUCGAGCUUUGGACCAUAAUAGAUUGUAUGUCGUUCACGCGAAUUUGGAUGAUCUGAUUGACGCGAUCGCGAAAUUUAAGUGCGCGCGAAAUAUUUUUUGCGCCAGUGGCCUAUCAAAACCCGAAAAUAUUUUCCACGCGAAAAAAAAAAAAAAAAUCCACUUAUACAGUAUGUAUAAAAACACAGCUGAUCCGCACUUCACGUUCAACGAGUUCGAGAGAAACGAAAACGUGUGUUACCGACUUCGUCGCCUUCUAUAACUACAAAACGGGGAAGAUCCGGCUCCAUUCGCUGCGGUGAAGCUGCCGACAGAGACUGAAGGAUUCUGAGGUUUCAAAGAGCGCGACUGUUCUGUUCCAUGUCACAUCUGGCAUAUACGAGGAGAUUCUCGCGUAUGAACUUACGCAAUGAAUGUCCGUACACGAUAAGAACGUACACGCGAGCAUGAAUGUGAUUAAUCGCUGCGUUGAUUACGUGAUCAGAAACAGCGCCCUUGACAGUGCGAAAAAAAAAAAC